GUUGUGAAAAAUGUACUUGGCUAUAAGAUUCCUUUUGUAUGCACUGUCUUGUACUUGGGUCAUAUUUCACUUGUAACAGUACAGAGGGACAGAAACUGGUAGCCUGAUUGUCCUAAACGGCAACAAUGGUUUGAGGUCAUACAUGAAAUAAGGGCAAUGGAAAGGCUGACUUUUGUGCUGGGUUUGAGAGAAGGUUAAUAUGCCAAAAGAUGGCAGAAGUGGACAUUUUACUUAAAUAAAGCAUAAGGACAUUGGUUCACAGCUUGGACUCAUUAGUGGAUAAAGCAGCGACUUGAAAUGUAUACAUUUUAUUUCUAUUUUUGUGGCUAUCAUCACCU